ensembl:snRNA U6 U6 spliceosomal RNA
GUGCUCGUUUCGGCAGCAUAUAUACUAAACUGGAUCAAUACAGAGAAAAUUAGCAUUGUCUCUGCCCAAGGAUGACACGCAGAUUUGUGAAGCGUUCCAUAUUUUU